CUUACUCCUCCACAAUUGUGUGAGCUAAUUCCUUAAAAUCUGUCUCUCUCUCUAUAAACACACACACACAUGCAUGUAUGCAUGCACACACCCUUGGUUCUGUUUCUCUAGAGAACCCUGACUAAUACAACUACUAGUGAGUUUCAUGAUCCUCAAGGCAGUAUCUGACAUAACACAGGAUGAGAGAGAUGCUGAGGGGAGGGAGGAAAUAAGGUCCUCAGCAGUCAGGGAGGCCUUGAGCAGGAACUAGAGACUUGAGCAGGAUUCCAAAGCAAGGUCAAGAUUGAAUAGGUGGAAGAAGGAGGAAGGGCCCUCAGGGAGGGGAAAUAGCAAGAGGAAAUGUGUGGAGCCUAAGUAGGGGACAGAUCCUGGAGACACAGGUGCUCCUAGCACCAGAUGCCUUCCCCAUGGCAGCUGUCAUAGUGGCAACUGAACACUUGUUGGUGGGUUUAAUGCCUGUCUCCGUGUUAGGCCAUAAACUUUUGUUGUUGUUGUUGUUGGGAAAGAUUAGCCCUGAGCUAACAUCUGUUGCCAAUCUUCCUCUCUUUUUUAUUCCCACCGAAGCCCCAGUACGUAGCUGUAUAUUCUAGUUUAAGUCCUUCUAGCUCUUCUAUGUGAGCCGCUGCCACUGCAUGGCUACUGACAGAUCAACCCUGAGCUAACAUCUGCUGCUAAUCCUCCUCUUUUUGCUGAGGAAGACUGGCCCUGAGCUAACAUCCGUGCCCAUCUUCCUCUACUUUAUACGUGGGACGCCUACCACAGCAUGGCUUGCCAAGCAGUACCAUGUCCACACCCAGGAUCUGAACCGGCAAACCGUGGGCUGCUGAAGUGGAACAUGCACACCUAACUGCUGCGCCACCGGGCCGGCCCCUAAAAUGUUAAUAAUUUUUAAAUGCAUAAAUAAUAUACAAGAUAUAUCCUCGUUUGAAAAUGUGUUUUAAAUUUUAAGCUCACAUGUUAAUGCAGCGUUUCACUCAACAAGUCCUCAUCUGGCCUUUCCUCGCAUUCUUUAGGGUUGUUCUUACAGGGUAGAGGCCAGAGCUUAACCCACUUGCACUUGAGGAAAAUCUGUUAUGAUUUCCCAAAGUUCCUCUGUUUCCCAGAUUAAUUUUAUUUAAAACCUAUGGAUUACCCAUCCAGCUAUCCCGUACUGUUCAUUGGCCUCAAGAUGCCAAGACCGACCCGUGAACUGGAGCAGGUGGUGUCUGCAUUCAUGGUGAGGCAGCCUGUACCCACUGGGUCAGACCUGGUGGCCCCUGGGAGUCCACACAGUAUUCUGCACCCACAGCACUGGGCAGGUAAAGAUGUGGCCUCCUUGGUGCUGAAUGAAGCUUUGCUUAAUGUGGCUGCCUGUGGAAUUAUAUUUGGAGGGAUUGCUAUUAAUGGAAACCAGUGAAGGAGCAGUCACUCGUUCCUCACAAGCACAGAGGUCUUUUGUGAUGGAGAUGACAGCUUUCCUCAUUUCAUACACGGUCCCUCGUGAACCUGAAGAGGGAAGGAUGCAUGCGUGUUUGAACAAGACUUCAAAGGAAGCCUGGGACCCGGCCUCCAUUCCAGAGUUGCUGUCAGGUCAGCCCCUGGAGCCACCCACAGUUCUCAUUCCUGUCUCACGUCCUUCAAGGACUUCCUGCUACUCUUGGGAAGAGCCAAAUUUCUUCACCGAGCCCACCAAGCCCAUGGCAGUGUCACCCCAGCUAACCUUGCCUGCUUAUCUCCCAUCCACCCUGCCCUGCAGUCCCACUGCAGAGUCUCACCUUCCCCAAAAUAUCCUACGCGGGUGCCUCCCUGUCAGAAAUGCCAUUCUCCCUUUUGUUGUCUGGAUCCUCUCCAUCUCAUCCUUCAAGACCCUGGCAGAAGUCUUCUUAGGGAGUCCUCCCCAUCUGUCCCAGGUAGAGGGAAUCAUCCCCACCUCUUUGCUCC
ensembl:lncRNA